rnacentral:rRNA from 1 species
AUUGAACGCUGGCGGCAGGCCUAACACAUGCAAGUCGAGCGGGGACUUCGGUCCUAGCGGCGAACGGGUGAGUAAUGCUUGGGAAUCUGCCCAGUAGUGGGGGAUAACGUCCCGAAAGGGACGCUAAUACCGCAUACGUCCUACGGGAGAAAGAGGGGUAUCUUCGGACCUCUCGCUAUUGGAUGAGCCCAAGUCGGAUUAGCUAGUUGGUAGGGUAAUGGCCUACCAAGGCGACGAUCCGUAGCUGGUCUGAGAGGAUGAUCAGCCACACUGGAACUGAGACACGGUCCAGACUCCUACGGGAGGCAGCAGUGGGGAAUAUUGGACAAUGGGCGAAAGCCUGAUCCAGCCAUGCCGCGUGUGUGAAGAAGGCCUUCGGGUUGUAAAGCACUUUAAGCGGGGAGGAAGGUUCGCGGCCUAAUACGUCGCGGAAUUGACGUUACCCGCAGAAUAAGCACCGGCUAACUCUGUG